rnacentral:rRNA from 1 species
GACAGAGGGUGCAAACGUUGUUCGGAAUUACUGGGCGUAAAGCGCGUGUAGGCGGCUUGGCAAGUCGGGUGUGAAAGCCCUGGGCUUAACCUAGGAAGUGCACUCGAAACUGCCGAGCUUGAGUUCUGGAGAGGAAGGCGGAAUUCUCGGUGUAGAGGUGAAAUUCGUAGAUAUCGAGAGGAACACCGGUGGCGAAGGCGGCCUUCUGGACAGCAACUGACGCUGAGGCGCGACAGCGUGGGGAGCAAACAGG